GGGGAAUUUUGGACAAUGGGGGCAACCCUGAUCCAGCCAUGCCGGGUGAGUGAAGAAGGCCUUCGGGUUGUAAAGCUCUUUCGGACGGAAAGAAAUCGCCGCCUCUAACAUAGGCGGUGGAUGACGGUACCGUAAGAAGAAGCACCGGCUAACUACGUGCCAGCAGCCGCGGUAAUACGUAGGGUGCGAGCGUUAAUCGGAAUUACUGGGCGUAAAGCGUGCGCAGGCGGUUUGGUAAGACAGGUGUGAAAUCCCCGGGCUUAACCUGGGAACUGCGCUUGUGACUGCCAGGCUAGAGUACGGCAGAGGGGGGUGGAAUUCCACGUGUAGCAGUGAAAUGCGUAGAGAUGUGGAGGAACACCGAUGGCGACCUGCUGGAACAUUACUUACGCUGAGGUGCGAAAGCGUGGGGAGCAAACA
rnacentral:rRNA from 1 species